UACGUAGGCAGCAAGCGUUGUUCGGAGUUACUGGGCGUAAAGGGUGUGUAGGCGGUUGGAUAAGUGUGGUGUGAAAUCUCCCGGCUCAAACUGGGAGGGUGCGCUACAAACUGUCUGACUAGAGUGCGGGAUGGGAAAGUGGAAUUCCUGGUGUAGCGGUGAAAUGCGUAGAUAUCAGGAGGAACACCGGUGGUGUAGACGGCUUUCUGGACCGUAACUGACGCUGAUACACGAAAGCGUGGGUAGCAAACAGG
rnacentral:rRNA from 1 species